AAAAAAAAAAAAAAAAAAAAAAACUUUUUCAAGCUUUUCACGGGGGGGCCCCCGAACCUUUUUGUUCCAAUUUUUUUUUUU
rnacentral:ribozyme from 1 species